AUUGAAUGCUGGCGGCAUGCCUUACACAUGCAAGUCGAACGGAUUUGGGGGCUUGCUCCCAAGUUAGUGGCGAACGGGUGAGUAAAGCAUCGGAACGUACCCAGUUGUGGGGGAUAACGUAGCGAAAGUUACGCUAAUACCGCAUACGCACUGAGGUGGAAAGCAGGGGAUCGCAAGACCUUGCGCAAUUGGAGCGGCCGAUGUCGGAUUAGCUAGUGGGUGGGGUAAAGGCCUACCAAGGCGACGAUCCGUAGCUGGUCUGAGAGGACGACCAGCCACACUGGAACGGAGACACGGUCCAGGCUCCUACGGGAGGCAGCAGUGGGGAAUUUUGGACAAUGGGCGAAAGCCUGAUCCAGCCAUGCCGCGUGAGUGAAGAAGGCCUUCGGGUUGUAAAGCUCUUUCAGACGGAAAGAAAUCUUCUGGGUUAAUACCCCGGGAGGAUGACGGUACCGUAAGAAGAAGCACCGGCUAACUACGUGCCAGCCGCCGCCGUAACAC
rnacentral:rRNA from 1 species